GACGAACGCUGGCGGCGUGCUUAACACAUGCAAGUCGAACGAAGUGGCGAACGGGUGAGUAACGCGUAAUCAACCUGCCCCUCAGUGGGGGACAACAGUUGGAAACGACUACUAAUACUGCAUACUGACGGUGGGGAUUGAGUCUGAUUAGCUAGUUGGAGGGGUAACGGCCCACCAAGGCGAUGAUCAGUAGCCGGUCUGAGAGGGUGAACGGCCACAUUGGGACUGAGACACUGCCCAGACUCCUACGGGAGGCAGCAGUGGGGAAUCUUCCGAAAUGGACGAAAGUCUGACGGAGCAACGCCGCGUGAGUGAUGACGGCCUUCGGGUUGUAAAGCUCUGUUAAUCGGGACGCGGUACCGGAAUAGAAAGCCACGGCUAACUACGUGCCAGCAGCCGCGGUAAUAC
rnacentral:rRNA from 1 species